CCCCAUCAGGUCCUGGCUGCAGGGAGGGAGCUGUUAGGGGUCCCAGCUGUGGGUUUUACCGUGCAAAUUUUAAACAUCCAAGUUAAAUUGAAUAAGCUCUAAGAAAUAAUAAUUAGGAGAGUCUGAGAUAUUCCAAUUUAGUAAUGAAAUGAUGUUCUUUGUAGGUAGGUGCAGAGACACCUAAGGAUGUCACCUUCAGUACGAAGCAGAAGGUAGAUGUCUCUAGCAGCCUAAAUUUGUACACUGUAAGGCCUUCCUCAUCACUCAUAAUACCAUCCAACAUUUAAAUAAAGUACCCCUCCUUUCUAAUGACCCAGGAAUGUGGUAUAACUGCUGGCCCAAUCCUGCGGGCAGGUGGGUUGAUCGCAAUUUAACAAGAAAUCUGCCAGAUUCGAGCCGGCAGAGGCUGCUGCCUUCUCCCUAGGCUGGAGUUGCACAUGGCUGGAGCACGGCAGCUUGGUGCCAGUGGAAGCUGCCUCAGGAAAAGGCUGACAGAAGGAAAAGCCUCGUGUGAAAGGAGCGGGCAGGGCCCACUGGCUCCUGGGAUGCAGGCAGAGCCCCGUGCUUUGCUGGCUCUCAGCUCCUCGGGCAAAUUAGCAGUGUGUUAAAUUAGCAGUGAGGAACCUGCCUCAGGUGGGGAUCCCAUCAGUUACCUGGUGGAGGAGAUGUCUGCACAGAGGCAGCACGCAGGAGAUGACACGGGAGCGCGCACCUGCUGUGCCAUGCAAAACUCAGGGCCCCCAGGCUGCCUCGGGAGAGCAGAGCGCAUGGGAUUGCAGAGUGUGGUCAGACUGUCAUCAGGAGCUUAUAGGGGAUUCUGCCACUUCCAUUACGUUGAGGCUGAGCAGCUACCCUGCGUGUGAAAGUCUGCCAGGGUUGGGCUGAAAUCCUGCCUCUGUUAAACUCGAAGGAUUUUUGACAUUGGUUUCAAUGAGGCCACAGUUUUUACUUCUGGCCCUUUUGGUUAUUGGAGCAAAACAUAGUAGGAGCCCCUAACUACUACUGAGUGGAAAGAAAAAAAUCAUAUAUUGGUUUUGGCUCCAAAGUUCCAACAUUCACUUGUGAAUUUAAAUUAGAAAAUCUAUUUGCCAUAUGUUCAAUUCCAAGAGAACUACAUCUCUGGAGAACCUGCUUCUUGGGUUGCUUUGGAUGGAGGAGGACUGCUUACAAA